rnacentral:rRNA from 1 species
UACGAAGGGGGGCUAGCGUUGCUCGGAAUCACUGGGCGUAAAGGGUGCGUAGGCGGGUCUUUAAGUCAGGGGUGAAAUCCUGGAGCUCAACUCCAGAACUGCCUUCGAUACUGCAUGGCUUGAGACCGGAAGAGGUAAGUGGAACUGCGAGUGUAGAGGUGAAAUUCGUAGAUAUUCGCAAGAACACCAGUGGCGAAGGCGGCUUACUGGGUCCGGU